rnacentral:rRNA from 1 species
UACGUAGGCAGCAAGCGUUGUUCGGAGUUACUGGGCGUAAAGGGUGCGUAGGCGGCUUUUUAAGUUUGGUGUGAAAUCUCCCGGCUCAACUGGGAGGGUGCGCCGAAUGCUGAGAGGCUAGAGUGUGGGAGAGGAAAGUGGAAUUCCUGGUGUAGCGGUGAAAUGCGUAGAUAUCAGGAGGAACACCGGUGUGUAAACGGCUUUCUGGACCAUAACUGACGCUGAUGCACGAAAGCGUGGGUAGCAAACAGG